rnacentral:rRNA from 1 species
GACGAACGCUGGCGGCGCGCUUAAUACAUGCAAGUCGAACGAGAAGCCAGAGCUUGCUCUGGUGGAAAGUGGCGAACGGGUGAGUAACACGUGAGAAACCUGCCCAAAGAUUGGGAUAAGCCUUGGAAACGAGGUCUAAUACCAAAUACCUUCCUUUUAACACAUGUUAAAAAGAGAAAUGCUCCGGCGCUUUGGGAUGGUCUCGCGAUCUAUCAGCUUGUUGGUGAGGUAACGGCUCACCAAGGCAUCGACGGAUAGCUGGUCUGAGAGGAUGUCCAGCCACAUUGGAACUGAGACACGGUCCAAAUCCUACGGGAGGCAGCAGUAGGGAAUCUUGCACAAUGAGGGAACCUUGAUGCAGCGACGCCGCGUGCGGGACGAAGGCCCUAGGGUUGUAAACCGCUUUCAGUA